GGGCGGCCUCGAAUACGUUGCAGGCCUCCAAGUUCUACAAGGAUGUGAUGACGCAGCUCGGCAGCCUUGUCGGCGCGGCCCCGGCGCCGCUCUC
rnacentral:tRNA from 1 species